rnacentral:rRNA from 1 species
CGCCGCCACGGGAAUACGAAGGGUGCAAGCGUUACUCGGAAUUACUGGGCGUAAAGCGUGCGUAGGUGGUGGUUUAAGUCCGUUGUGAAAGCCCUGGGCUCAACCUGGGAAUUGCAGUGGAUACUGGGUCACUAGAGUGUGGUAGAGGAUAGUGGAAUUUCCGGUGUAGCAGUGAAAUGCGUAGAGAUCGGAAGGAACAUCUGUGGCGAAGGCGACUAUCUGGGCCAACACUGACACUGAGGCACGAAAGCGUGGGGAGCAAACAGGAUUAGAGACCCCUGUAGUCCCUGUCUCUUAUACC